rnacentral:rRNA from 1 species
UAUUGGGCAAUGGGCGAAAGCCUGACCCAGCAACGCCGCGUUGAGGAAGACGGCCUUCGGGUUGUAAACUCAUUUUCUGGGGGACGAGGAAGGACGGUACCCCAGGAAGAAGUCACGGCUAACUACGUGCCAGCAGCCGCGGUAAAACGUAGGUGGCAAGCGUUAUCCGGAUUUACUGGGCGUAAAGGGUGUGCAGGCGGAGGACCAAGUGGUGUAUGAAAGGGUCAGGCUCAACCUGGCGAGGGUAUGCCAGACUGGUCGUCUAGAACGUGAGAGAGGGACGUGGAAUUCCGGGUGUAGUGGUGAAAUGCGUAGAGAUCCGGAGGAACACCAGAGGCGAAAGCGGCGUCCUGGCUCACUGUUGACGCUCAGACACGAAAGCAUGGGGAGCGAAC